UACAGAGGUCUCAAGCGUUGUUCGGAUUCAUUGGGCGUAAAGGGCUCGUAGGCGGUUUGUCGCGUCGGGAGUGAAAAUCCAGGGCUUAACUCUGGACUGGCUUCCGAUACGGGCAGACUAGAGGUAUGCAGGGGAGAACGGAAUUCCUGGUGUAGCGGUGAAAUGCGCAGAUAUCAGGAGGAAUACCGGUGGCGAAGGCGGUUCUCUGGGCAUUACCUGACGCUGAGGAGCGAAAGUGUGGGGAGCGAACAGG
rnacentral:rRNA from 1 species